rnacentral:rRNA from 1 species
AACACGUGAGUAACCUGCCCUUGACUCUGGGAUAAGCCUGGGAAACUGGGUCUAAUACCGGAUAUGACUCCUCAUCGCAUGGUGGGGGGUGGAAAGCUUUUGUGGUUUUGGAUGGACUCGCGGCCUAUCAGCUUGUUGGUGGGGUAAUGGCCUACCAAGGCGACGACGGGUAGCCGGCCUGAGAGGGUGACCGGCCACACUGGGACUGAGACACGGCCCAGACUCCUACGGGAGGCAGCAGUGGGGAAUAUUGCACAAUGGGCGCAAGCCUGAUGCAGCGACGCCGCGUGAGGGAUGACGGCCUUCGGGUUGUAAACCUCUUUCAGUAGGGAAGAAGCGUAAGUGACGGUACCUGCAGAAGAAGCGCCGGCUAACUACGUGCCAGCAGCCGCGGUAAUACGUAGGGCGCAAGCGUUAUCCGGAAUUAUUGGGCGUAAAGAGCUCGUAGGCGGUUUGUCGCGUCUGCUGUGAAAGACCGGGGCUCAACUCCGGUUCUGCAGUGGGUACGGGCAGACUAGAGUGCAGUAGGGGAGACUGGAAUUCCUGGUGUAGCGGUGAAAUGCGCAGAUAUCAGGAGGAACACCGAUGGCGAAGGCAGGUCUCUGGGCUGUAACUGACGCUGAGGAGCGAAAGCAUGGGGAGCGAACAGGAUUAGAUACCCUGGUAGUCCAUGCCGUAAACGUUGGGCACUAGGUGUGGGGGACAUUCCACGUUUUCCGCGCCGUAGCUAACGCAUUAAGUGCCCCGCCUGGGGAGUACGGCCGCAAGGCUAAAACUCAAAGGAAUUGACGGGGGCCCGCACAAGCGGCGGAGCAUGCGGAUUAAUUCGAUGCAACGCGAAGAACCUUACCAAGGCUUGACAUGAACCGGUAAUACCUGGAAACAGGUGCCCCGCUUGCGGUCGGUUUACAGGUGGUGCAUGGUUGUCGUCAGCUCGUGUCGUGAGAUGUUGGGUUAAGUCCCGCAACGAGCGCAACCCUCGUUCUAUGUUGCCAGCGGUUCGGCCGGGGACUCAUAGGAGACUGCCGGGGUCAACUCGGAGGAAGGUGGGGACGACGUCAAAUCAUCAUGCCCCUUAUGUCUUGGGCUUCACGCAUGCUACAAUGGCCGGUACAAAGGGUUGCGAUACUGUGAGGUGGAGCUAAUCCCAAAAAGCCGGUCUCAGUUCGGAUUGGGGUCUGCAACUCGACCCCAUGAAGUCGGAGUCGCUAGUAAUCGCAGAUCAGCAACGCUGCGGUGAAUACGUUCCCGGGCCUUGUACACACCGCCCGUCAAGUCACGAAA